GACGAACGCUGGCGGCGUGCUUAACACAUGCAAGUCGAACGGAAAGGCCCUGCUUUUGGGGGGUGCUCUAGUGGCGAACGGGUGAGUAACACGUAGGUAACCUGCCACUGACUUUGGGAGAACCUCAGGAAACUGGGGCUAAUACCGGAUAGGAGCUCCUGCUGCAUGGUGGGGGUUGGAAAGUUUCGGCGGUUGGGGAUGGACUGGCGGCUUAUCAGCUUGUUGCGGGGGUAGUGGCUUACCAAGGCUUGGACGCGUAGCCGGGCUGGGAGGGGGAGAGGACAAGCUGGGAUUGGGAUGCGGCACAGACUACUAUGGGACGCAGAGGUGGGGUAUAGUGUAUUAUGGGCGGAGGGCUGAUGCAGUAACGCAGCGUGGGGUAAGAGAGGAAGCGGUUUGUAUAGUGAUUUCGCCUGAGACGAAGCGUGAGUGACGGUAAUGGGUAAAGAAGCACCGGCUAACUACGUG
rnacentral:rRNA from 1 species